CGGGUGAGUAAUGUAUGGGGAUCUGCCUGAUGGCGGGGGAUAACUACUGGAAACGGUAGCUAAUACCGCAUAAUGUCUGCGGACCAAAGCGGGGGACCUCCGGGCCUCGCGCCAUCAGAUGAACCCAUAUGGGAUUAGCUUGUAGGUAAGGUAACGGCUACCUAGGCGACGAUCCCUAGCUGGUCUGAGAGGAUGAUCAGCCACACUGGGACUGAGACACGGCCCAG
rnacentral:rRNA from 1 species